CCAGGGAAAUGAAGAAACUUCGCAAGCCUGAAUGCAUUCAAUGCGUGUUUUUGAUGAAAACUUGCACGUCAGUCAGAUCCCAAU